UAACUCAAUUGGUAGAGUACUCGGCUUUUAACCGAGCUGUUCUGGGUUCGAGUCCC
rnacentral:tRNA from 1 species